AGUGAACGCUGGCGGUAGGCCUAACACAUGCAAGUCGAACGAGUGGCGGACGGGUGCGGAAUAUAUGGGAAUCUACAUUAUGGGGGGGGAUAACGAAGGGAAACUGACGCUAAUAAAGCAUACGAUCGGAUGAGCCGAUGUCUGAUUAGCUGGUAGGGGAGGUAAAGGCUCACCAAGGCGACGAUCCCUAGCUGGUCUGAGAGGAUGAUCAGCCACACUGGAACUGAGACACGGUCCAGACUCCUACGGGAGGCAGCAGUGGGGAAUAUUGGACAAUGGGCGCAAGCCUGAUCCAGCCAUGCCGCGUGUGUGAAGAAGGCCUUCGGGUUGUAAAGUCCUUUUAGUCGGGAAGCGGUACCCAAAGAAUAAGCACCGGCUAACUCCGUGCCAGCCGCCGCGGUAAUAC
rnacentral:rRNA from 1 species